GGUCAGGGCAGGCAGAGGUCAGUAAUUCAGAGUGGUGUUACAAGGUACAGAACUGCAGGCAGUCAUGGGGUCAGGGCAGGCAGAGGUCAGUAAUUCAGAGUGGUGUCACAAGGUACAGAACGGCAGGCAGUCAUGGGGUCAGGGCAGGCAGAGGUCAGUAAUUCAGAGUGGUGUCACAAGGUACAGAACGGCAGGCAGUCAUGGGGUCAGGGCAGGCAGAGGUCAGUAAUUCAGAGUGGUGUUACAAGGUACAGAACGGCAGGCAGUCAUGGGGUCAGGGCAGGCAGAGGUCAGUAAUUCAGAGUGGUGUCACAAGGUACAGAACGGCAGGCAGGCUCAGGGCAGGCAGAAUGGUCAAGAACCGGGAAAACUGGAACACAGGUAGGCUUGAUGAACAAAACAAACUGGCAACAGACAAACAUAACACAGGUUUAAAUACACUUGGAUGAAUGGGGAAAAUGGGCAACACCUGGAGGAGGGUGGAGACGAGCACAAAGACGGGUGAAACAGAUCAGGGUUUGACAAUAACUUAAGUAUACUAGCACUGAAAAGAACACUGUGGCCUUCCAUUCAAGCUGACUGUUCAUGGCUGGGCAGUGUCAUGUUGUUGAAUACACCUUCACCUACACAUUUGCA